GAUCAGUGGCUCAGGACGAACGCUGGCGGCGUGCUUAACACAUGCAAGUGGAGCGACGAACCGGGGCUUGCCCCGGGGCAGAGCCGCGAACGGGUGAGUAACACGUGGGUAACCUGCCUCAAUGAUUGGGACAACCCGGGGAAACUCGGGCUAAUACCAAAUGUGUUCACUCCUUCCAAGGGGAGUGAGGAAAGGAAGCUUCGGCCUCCGCAUUGAGAUGGGCCCGCGGCCCAUUAGCUUGUUGGUGAGGUAACGGCUCACCAAGGCUUCGAUGGGUAGCUGGUCUGAGAGGACGAUCAGCCACACUGGGACUGAGACACGGCCCAGACUCCUACGGGAGGCAGCAGUGGGGAAUCUUGCACAAUGCGCGAAAGCGUGAUGCAGCAACGCCGCGUGGGGAAGACGGCCUUCGGGUUGUAAACCCCUUUCAGUUGGGACGAAGCUUCGUCGGUGAAUAGCCGGUUGGAGUGACGGUACCUUCAGAAGAAGCCCCGGCUAACUACGUG
rnacentral:rRNA from 1 species